UUACCUCGAAAAGCAGCUUAUGAUCCAUACAUCGAGAGUAUCAUCAGCUCGUAGGUUCCUUGCUCUUUUCCUUUUCUAUUUGAAGAAUUUUAUUUUGCCUUGCUUUUUAUGCUGCCACUAUUUUGUCACAGUGAUGAUGAAGAAACACCAACUUUAGAUGUGGCUGCUCGAACGAGCACGUCACAUACUUUAGUUAUUUCAGAAAAACCAGUUGAAGGGGAGGAAUCGUCGCCUCCUCAACAAAAUGUUGAUACAUCUACUCCUCCUUCGAGCCCCCGUGCCCCUUCACCAAAAAGGGCACGGGUUGAAAAGAUUGUUGAUCCUGCCCCUCAGUUGGGCAGUUCGUCGACUCUGCUCUUAGAUGAUCCAAUGAUCAAAGAGCUUCUUCGGAUCGGGUCCCAAUUUGUUGGGUACCGUGAAUAUGCCGCCAGAGCCGAAG